rnacentral:piRNA from 1 species
GAGAUGCACAGGAACUUUUGGGAGCC